rnacentral:lncRNA from 1 species
CGUGGAAGAAGGAAAAGUAACCUCCCAGUUCCUGCCUGGUGAUAAGAAAAUAGGCCAUUCAUAGCUGACAAGCUCCCCUAUCCAGAACAACAAACACGGCCGUUCUGUGGAAUUAAGUAUUUCAAGGUACAGCUCUUUGAAUCAUUCUGAAGAAUUUAAUCCAACAAACGUGCCCAGGUUUCUCUUCGUAAAUCAAUGCAUUCAGUGUGUCAUGCAGGAGCACUCAUUCAGGAGGAGUUCAGAGGUAUGGGAGCAGCUGGCAGUGACCUGGUAGACCAGGUGGGUGUACUGGCCACCACUGGUGGAAGCUGAGAUGUGCAUAACAGGUCGCUACACCAAGCAUCCAGUUGCUUUCCAUCUGAGGCAGCACAGGAAAAUGCUGUGCUCUGUUUCUGUCGCCCUCUUCCCUAUUGCGAAGGUUGUUGCUUCACCCAUCCUUCAGCUGAGCAGCCAGGAAGAGCAGUCAGGUGUUGACUUUGGAGCCAUUGUCAGAACCUAGCCAGGGUCAGUUCCACCUAAAACGGAACAGCUGGUUUCACCUGGGUGAUCUGGAAGGAGCCCCUGUGUACCAAGUGACAGAAGCAUAUGCCCCAGGACCAUUCAGGACUGCCCAAAAGCAACCACUGCUGUGCCAACAACAGGCAGCUGCUGGGAAAAUGCCUGCUUCUGUCGAGGAAAAAAUCCGCCUGGGGCUCUUGGAGCCAUCAGCUGCCUAGAGCAGAGAAAACCCAGCUCCUCCCUGGGUUAGAGCAGCAGUACCUCCGAGCAGGAGAGGAUGAAGCAUUGCCAUGCAGUGACAAAGCAGAUUCUGCCUGACUGAGUAGCUGAUGGUGCCUGCAAGGACCUGGGCCAGAAGUGCACCCAAGGGUGCUUUGCAUGAGUCCUGGCCACCACUGCCAUCCCCUGAGAGGAGAUGCAACAGCACCUGCUGAGUGUGCAGCUGGCAGCUAAGGAGGUGGAGCAGCUGCUGUGCCUUGCUUUGUUCUGCCCAGACAGGAGCAGGCAGAGGGUAGGCUAUGUAUCAGAUGGACUUCCACAUCACCAUAGUUCUGGGAGGACUGAAAGACUGUGCUAGCACACCCCACCCUCUAUGCACAGGUGCAGAAUGAUGUGCUCUGGAUACAACUGGAGCCUGCAGGAGGUGCCU